rnacentral:rRNA from 1 species
CCCUUAGAUGUUCUGGGCCGCACGCGCGCUACACUGACGAAUGCAACGAGCUUAUAACCUUGGCCGAAAGGUCUGGGUAAUCUCCAAAUUUCGUCGUGAUGGGGAUAGAUUAUUGCAAUUAUUAAUCUUCAACGAGGAAUGCCUAGUAAGCGCAAGUCAUCAGCUUGCGUUGAUUACGUCCCUGCCCUUUGUACACACCGCCCGUCGCUCCUACCGAUUGAAUGGUCCGGUGAAGCGUUCGGACCGUGGCCUUUGGACGGUUCGCCGUCUGUUGGCUGCGGGAAGUUCGUUAAACCUUAUCAUUUAGGGGAAGGAGAANUCGUANCA